UACGUAGGGUGCGAGCGUUAAUCGGAAUUACUGGGCGUAAAGCGUGCGCAGGCGGUUCGUUAAGUCAGAUGUGAAAGCCCCGGGCUCAACCUGGGAACUGCAUCCGAUACUGGAUGGCUUGAAUCCGGGAGAGGGAUGCAGAAUUCCAGGUGUAGCGGUGAAAUGCGUAGAUAUCUGGAGGAAUACCGGUGGCGAAGGCGGCAUCCUGGACCGGCAUUGACGCUGAGGAGCGAAAGCUAGGGGAGCAAACGGG
rnacentral:rRNA from 1 species